GAGGACAAUAAGAAUCCAUGCUGUACUCCCAGAACCCACCGGAAGCCCCUUUUCUGAUAUUCAGGAAGUGAGCCAGCAGUCCUCUCCUGCUUUCUGUAGAUAUUCCACAAGGCAGCUGGGUGAAAAGCUGUGUGUCUAUGCAACCUGCCCAGAGUGGAGGUGAGGUGUCUCCUCCUAGAGGACUGGAGGGGGAGGGCAUUACUCCUGCCUUCUCCACCAGCCGUGGUGGAAAAAGUACCCCAUUGUCAUACUUGAGUAGAGAUGACCUACCAUUUUAAAGGACUUUUAUACACAACCCUUCCUAUGUUUUCUAUACGAAUAAAACUGCUUUAGCAAAGCAUUUUCCCAGAGACUCCUUGAAAUGGUUUUACUGUUUGCAGGAUGUUUGAGUCAUUAAACAGAAGUUGUAUUCAUUUACAUCUGGAACUUCUCUCGUGGUUCUUCUCUAGUUUAAUCUCUCCUCUGAUGCACAGAGAUGCUGACCGCUUCACUACCUGAUACGGGCUAGUGGAGGUCAGCUGCUGACCGCUUCACUACCUGAUACUAGCUAGUGGAGGUCAGCUGCUGACCGCUUCAUUGCCUGAUACUGGCUAGUGGAGGUCAGCUGCUGACCGCUUCACUACCUGAUACUGGCUAGCCAAGGUCAGCUGCUGACCGCUUCACUACCUGAUACUAGCUAGUGGAGGUCAGCUGCUGACCGCUUCAUUGCCUGAUACUGGCUAGUGGAGGUCAGCUGCUGACCGCUUCACUACCUGAUACUGGCUAGCCAAGGUCAGCUGCUGACCGCUUCACUACCUGAUACGGGCUAGUGGAGGUCAGCUGCUGACCGCUUCACUACCUGAUACGGGCUAGUGGAGGUCAGCUGCUGACCGCUUCAUUGCCUGAUACUGGCUAGUGGAGGUCAGCUGCUGACCGCUUCACUACCUGAUACUGGCUAGCGGAGGUCAGCUGCUGACCGCUUCAUUGCCUGAUACUGGCUAGUGGAGGUCAGCUGCUGACCGCUUCACUACCUGAUACUGGCUAGCGGAGGUCAGCUGCUGACCGCUUCACUACCUGAUACUGGCUAGUGGAGGUCAGCUGCUGACCGCUUCACUACCUGAUACUGGCUAGUGGAGGUCAGCUGCUGACCGCUUCAUUGCCUGAUACUGGCUAGUGGAGUACAGCUGCUGACCGCUUCACUACCUGAUACUGGCUAGUGGAGGUCAGCUGCUGACCGCUUCACUACCUGAUACUGGCUAGUGGAGGUCAGCUGCUGACCGCUUCACUACCUGAUACUGGCUAGUGGAGGUCAGCUGCUGACCGCUUCACUACCUGAUACUGGCUAGCGGAGGUCAGCUGCUGACCGCUUCACUACCUGAUGCUGGCUAGUGGAGGUCAGCUGCUGACCGCUUCACUACCUGAUACUGGCUAGUGGAGGUCAGCUGCUGACCGCUUCACUACCUGAUACUGGCUAACCAAGGUCAGCUGCUGACCGCUUCACUACCUGAUACUGGCUAGUGGAGGUCAGCUGCUGACCGCUUCAUUGCCUGAUACUGGCUAGUGGAGGUCAGCUGCUGACCGCUUCACUACCUGAUACUGGCUAGUGGAGGUCAGCUGCUGACCGCUUCACUACCUGAUACUGGCUAGUGGAGGUCAGCUGCUGACCGCUUCACUACCUGAUACUGGCUAGUGGAGGUCAGCUGCUGACCGCUUCACUACCUGAUACUGGCUAGUGGAGGUCAGCUGCUGACCGCUUCACUACCUGAUACUGGCUAGUGGAGGUCAGCUGCUGACCGCUUCACUACCUGAUACUGGCUAGUGGAGGUCAGCUGCUGACCGCUUCACUACCUGAUACUGGCUAGUGGAGGUCAGCUGCUGACCGCUUCACUACCUGAUACUGGCUAGCCAAGGUCAGCUGCUGACCGCUUCACUACCUGAUACUGGCUAGUGGAGGUCAGCUGCUGACCGCUUCACUACCUGAUACUGGCUAGCCAAGGUCAGCUGCUGACCGCUUCACUACCUGAUACUGGCUAGCGGAGGUCAGCUGCUGACCGCUUCACUACCUGAUACUGGCUAGUGGAGGUCAGCUGCUGACCGCUUCAUUGCCUGAUACUGGCUAGUGGAGGUCAGCUGCUGACCGCUUCACUACCUGAUACUGGCUAGCGGAGGUCAGCUGCUGACCGCUUCACUACCUGAUACUGGCUAGCCAAGGUCAGCUGCUGACCGCUUCACUACCUGAUACUGGCUAGUGGAGGUCAGCUGCUGACCGCUUCACUACCUGAUACUGGCUAGUGGAGGUCAGCUGCUGACCGCUUCACUACCUGAUACUGGCUAGUGGAGGUCAGCUGCUGACCGCUUCACUACCUGAUACUGGCUAGUGGAGGUCAGCUGCUGACCACUUCACUACCUGAUACUGGCUAGCCAAGGUCAGCUGCUGACCGCUUCACUACCUGAUACUGGCUAGUGGAGGUCAGCUGCUGACCACUUUACUACCUGAUGCUGGCUAGUGGAGGUCAGCUGCUGACCACUUCACUACCUGAUACUGGCUAGCCAAGGUCAGCUUCUGACCGCUUCACUACCUGAUACUGGCUAGCCAAGGUCAGCUGCUGACCGCUUCACUACCUGAUACUGGCUAGCUGAGGUCAGCUGCUGACCGCUUCACUAACUGAUACUGGCUAGCGGAGGUCAGCUGCUGACCGCUUCACUACCUGAUACUGGCUAGCGGAGGUCAGCUGCUGACCGCUUCACUACCUGAUACUGGCUAGCCAAGGUCAGCUGCUGACCGCUUCACUACCUGAUACUGGCUAGUGGAGGUCAGCUGCUGACCGCUUCAUUGCCUGAUACUGGCUAGUGGAGGUCAGCUG
rnacentral:lncRNA from 1 species